rnacentral:rRNA from 1 species
GUGAGGAAUAUUGCGCAAUGGAGGCAACUCUGACGCAGCCAUGCCGCGUGCAGGAAGAAGGCGCUACGCGUUGUAAACUGCUUUUAACCGGGAAGAAACCCCAGGACGUGUCCUGGGUUGACGGUACCGGAGGAAUAAGCACCGGCUAACUUCGUGUCAGCAGCCGCGGUAAUACGAAGGGUGCAAGCGUUAUCCGGAUUCAUUGGGUUUAAAGGGUGCGUAGGCGGAGCGUUAAGUCAGUGGUGAAAUCCUGCAGCUUAACUGUAGACUUGCCAUUGAUACUGGCGCUCUUGAGUGCGCUUGAAGUGGGCGGAAUGUGCCGUGUAGCGGUGAAAUGCUUAGAUAUGGCACAGAACACCAAUUGCGAAGGCAGCUCACUAAGGCGAUACUGACGCUGAGGCACGAAAGCGUGGGGAUCGAACAGGAUUAGAAACCCCGGUAGUCC